UCAAGUGUAGUAUCUGUUCUUAUCAGU
rnacentral:piRNA from 6 species